GGAGGAGUACCCAAGUGGUUUAAGGGCACCGUCUCGAAAACGGCUGGGGUCGCAAGGCCCACGUGAGUUCGAAUCUCACCUCCUCCG
rnacentral:tRNA from 1 species